rnacentral:lncRNA from 1 species
UCAAAAUGAAUCAAGUUUGUGAUGAAACGAUGAGUGAGAGGAGGUAGCUACCUAAAGUUGAUCACCUGUUGUCAACACGGGACGUGAGGGAGGCGUAACAAUAAUUGGUGAGGCUGGCCUUGCUAUCUCUAAGUCAGAGCUCAUGCCGAGAGUGGCACUUUAUAGCAGAGAACCUAAAGAGGUCGCUCUGAUACCAUGAAAAAAAAGUAAUGAGAGAAGGCAGCACCCGGAACUCUUGAUGUUGCUGUGUGGUAACACUUACACAAAUAUAUCACUCUUUUGAGAGUCUCCUGAUAUACCAACUAGGUGUGCUAAUUAUAACUUAACCUAAUCCUACGUCAGCCUAGUUGUGCUUCCACUUGUCACCGGAAGCCAGGUUUAUUCCAACAACUCGUGUGCGCAGUGUAAUGUGUGUUGUCUGUAGUUUCCAAGGUAUGGAGUUAUGAAUUCAUGAACUUUUGAUACCCAGCUUGGGUUCUGAUGCAUCAACAUCAACACAAGACUGAUCGUUCUUGUUUCUUAUCCAGAGCUUGCAAUGUGCGACUGUGUUCGCAGAUUCUGUCGGUGAUAGGUGGUCUGUUGAGGCUCCUCUUUUCGACUCACAUUGAAUACAUAGUACGAGGCUGAACCUCUUCAGGUGAGGGUUUGAAUCUUCUUUAGCAAUGAGUUUUGUGUUCCCAAACAGUUUCCCAAACGCUUUAAAUCCUACACAAAAUGACAUACUAGUCCUGAACUAUGGUGCACUAUUUUCGUUAUUCGCUGGAGUGGUUAUCUUAUUCAAAUACAGGCGCUUCAUCUACAUUAAAUUUCUUUAGCAAUCCGUGCUGGACUUUUACAGUCACUGUUGUUGUCCAUUGUUGGUCGUAUUUUUGUGUUUUUUUUUGCUACGGUGCAGGUCUUAUUCAUGUUGGAGGUUUGUGAUGGUACUAAUCUUCUUACCCUUGUGGUUUUUGAAGGUGGUGGUUUUCUGUCUGUUGUUGCAAGAUCGUGAUGGUGCUAGUCCUCUUCAAUUUUUUGUUGUUGGUUCGUGAUUGUGGUGAUCCUUCUCGCCUUGUUUCUAGUGUGAGAUUAUGUUCUUCCAAGCAAAGGUGAUAGUUGUGAUUGCACUCUUUCUCACAUUCUUGCUAUUUGUGAUGAAGUUCUUUAUGGCAGCGGAGCUAGUUUUUGUAUCAAAUUUCCUUAGUAGUGUAAUAAUGAUGAAUGUUUCUGGGAUGUUGAUGCUUAGUUGGAAAGAUUUGCAGCUGUGUUCUUUUCUGUUGUGGUUUGCCACUCUGUUAUAAUGUAUGUAAAAUUUCUUUUUGCAGAAUUUUUUAUGAAGAGUAUAUUACAAUUUUAGGAUACCACAAUUUAGAUAUUCC